rnacentral:lncRNA from 1 species
GUGCCUACCACCACGACCACGGCCCCGACCCCAACCCCAUUCUCAAUACCAACCCUUGUUUGAGAGAUACACAUCCAAGGAGAUGCCUAUCUUGGGACAGGCAUAUCUUGGAAAAUGCGUAUCUUAAAAUUGGCAUUUUUUAGAAUAUGGAUAUUUGCUAUUUGGAUAGCAUUUCACAAGAUUUGAAAAAAAACAGUUCAGUGACAUCGAUGGCCCAUCUGGAUCUGAAAAAAACAGUACAGUGACAUCAAUGGCUCAUCUGGAUUUGAAAAAAACAGUUCGGUCUACCAAACCGGCCAUUAAAGUUAAUAAAUCCAAGAAAAAAAGUGGGGUCGGCUCUGAACAGGUUCCGUUAAAGAACCGGCCACGCCAAUGAGGGAAACUAGCCGGUUCCCAAUAUUUAGCCGAAAAAGAGUUCUUCCCAAAGGAUUCCCAAUUUGUCAGUAAUGCUUUCCAGCAGUCGCUAUCUGUUCCUUGGAGGCCGAGGUCAUUAUGUUACAAGAUAAGAUUAGCGAUCUUCCUUUUAGAUGUGUGCUAGAAAGGUGAUAUUAUGUAUUUAGUAGGUAAUGUAAAUUCUAUCUUCUUAUGGAUUGCUGAUAAUUUUUUUUGUUUUUUUGUUUUUUGAGCAGUACUUAGUAUUAGUUUCUUAAAAUUUAAUGCCAUAUUUCUUUUAAGAUGCUCCUUUCUUUUUGUUUUGUAGGAUAUCUUCAAUGAACUAUUGGAUUCUAUUCAUAUUAGUAUGCCGGUUUUGGAGUCGGUGUCUGUUGAUAAGUGCUUUUUACUACAAUGAGUGCAUGGAGAGCAUGUGCAUCUCGAAACAUGCACAUUCAGAUCGGUAUGCG